rnacentral:lncRNA from 1 species
UGCCUCCUUCUUGGAUAAACUUUUUUUUAAAAAAAUAGCAUACCUACCAACAAACACCUUUUAUUAAGUAAGAUUGUAGAAGUAGUAUUCUAUACUUUUCUUGGGAUAAUCCAUAAAUUUGCAUCUUACUGAUCUAGCACUCAGCUUAUGUCCAUCAAUAUUUUUUCACAUGAGCCAGACAACCCCAAAUCUUAAGAUGUUUAAGACUGGGUUUCUUUUCUUUCCAUAUCUCA